rnacentral:rRNA from 1 species
GGGUAGAGUUUGAUCCUGGCUCAGGACGAACGCUGGCGGCGUGCCUAAUACAUGCAAGUCGAGCGGACAGAUGGGAGCUUGCUCCCUGAUGUUAGCGGCGGACGGGUGAGUAACACGUGGGUAACCUGCCUGUAAGACUGGGAUAACUCCGGGAAACCGGGGCUAAUACCGGAUGGUUGUUUGAACCGCAUGGUUCAAACAUAAAAGGUGGCUUCGGCUACCACUUACAGAUGGACCCGCGGCGCAUUAGCUAGUUGGUGAGGUAACGGCUCACCAAGGCAACGAUGCGUAGCCGACCUGAGAGGGUGAUCGGCCACACUGGGACUGAGACCCGGCCCAGACUCCUACGGGAGGCAGCAGUAGGGAAUCUUCCGCAAUGGACGAAAGUCUGCCGGAGCAACCCGCCUGACCCUUAUCUUUUCGGAUCGUAAGCUCUGUUGUUAGGGAAGAACAAGUACCGUCGAAUAGGGCGGUAUAUGUACGUACCUUUACAGAAUUUCCCUUGCUCU